CAGUCGAGCGAAUGGAUUGAGAGCUUGCUCUCAAGAAGUUAGCGGCGGACGGGUGAGUAACACGUGGGUAACCUGCCCAUAAGACUGGGAUAACUCCGGGAAACCGGGGCUAAUACCGGAUAACAUUUUGAACCGCAUGGUUCGAAAUUGAAAGGCGGCUUCGGCUGUCACUUAUGGAUGGACCCGCGUCGCAUUAGCUAGUUGGUGAGGUAACGGCUCACCAAGGCAACGAUGCGUAGCCGACCUGAGAGGGUGAUCGGCCACACUGGGACUGAGACACGGCCCAGACUCCUACGGGAGGCAGCAGUAGGGAAUCUUCCGCAAUGGACGAAAGUCUGACGGAGCAACGCCGCGUGAGUGAUGAAGGCUUUCGGGUCGUAAAACUCUGUUGUUAGGGAAGAACAAGUGCUAGUUGAAUAAGCUGGCACCUUGACGGUACCUAACCAGAAAGCCACGGCUAACUACGUGCCAGCAGCCGCGGUAAUACGUAGGUGGCAAGCGUUAUCCGGAAUUAUUGGGCGUAAAGCGCGCGCAGGUGGUUUCUUAAGUCUGAUGUGAAAGCCCACGGCUCAACCGUGGAGGGUCAUUGGAAACUGGGAGACUUGAGUG
rnacentral:rRNA from 2 species